GGAGUUUGGGCCGUGUCUCAGUCCCAAUGUGGCCGUUCACUCUCUCAAGCCGGCUAUUGAUCGUUGCCUUGGUGGGCCGUUACCUCACCAACUAGCUAAUCAAACGCGGGCCCAUCCUAUAGCGCAAAAGCUUUCAAUGCAGAAGCAUGCGGAUCUGCAUUACUAUGCGGUAUUAGCAGUCAUUUCUAACUGUUGUCCCCCUCUAUAGGGCAGGUUGCCCACGCGUUACUCACCCGUCCGCCACUAAGUCAUCCCAAAUGAAUCCACUUCUGUGCAAGCACUUCCGCUUCUUCGGGAGGGAUGCUUCGUUCGACUUGCAUGUGUUAAGCACGCCGCCAGCGUUCAUC
rnacentral:rRNA from 1 species